GUGGCUGGUCCAGUUGGUAAAGCAUGGUGUUUGCAACGCCAGGGUUGUGGGUUCGAUUCCCACC
rnacentral:tRNA from 1 species